rnacentral:rRNA from 1 species
GACGAAGGGGGCUAGCGUUGUUCGGAAUUACUGGGCGUAAAGCGCGUGUAGGCGGUUGUUCAAGUCAGGUGUGAAAGCCUUGAGCUCAACUCAAGAAAUGCACUUGAUACUGGAUGACUAGAGGACCGGAGAGGAUAGUGGAAUUCCCAGUGUAGUGGUGAAAUACGUAGAGAUCGGGUGGAACACCAGCGGCGAAGGCGGCAUCCUGGCCCUGUACUGACGCUGAGGCGCGAUAGCGUGGGGAGCAAACGGG